rnacentral:rRNA from 1 species
CCUACGGGUGGCUGCAGUGGGGAAUAUUGGGCAAUGGGGGCAACCCUGACCCAGCAACGCCGCGUGAGUGAAGAAGGCCCUCGGUUUGUAAACUUCUUUUGUCAGGGACGAAACAAAUGACGGUACCUGACGAAUACGCCACGGCUAACUACGUACCAGCAGCCGCGGUAAUACGUAGGUGGCAAGCGUUAUCCGUAUUUACUGGGUGUAAGGGGCGUGUAGGCGGGAGAGCAAGUCAGAUGUGAAAUUCCAGGGCUCAACCCUGGAACUGCAUUUGAAACUGUGUUUCUUGAGUGAUGGAGAGGUAGGCGGAAUUCCGGGUGUAGCGGUGAAAUGCGUAGAGAUACGGAGGAACACCAGUGGCGAAGGCGGCCUGCUGGACAGUAACUGACGUUGAGGCUCGAAAGCGUGGGGAGCAAACAGGAUUAGAUACCCGUGUAGUC